AUGAAGUCAGGUGAUAAGAAGGCCAUGAGAGGUGACAGUGAUCAGAUCAUACACCUUGAUUACAGAGACUUUGGGCGUUGGAAGGUCGAAAAAUUUGCUCGUUACGUUGACAACCUAUUGCUCGCCUGUCGUAAUGUUGACUUGCACACAUUCCGUCUGCAUUGGGAUCCUCAUGUUCCCCUGAACUGCAAUGAUGUCAGAAAGUGGAUUCGCUACGCUGUGAAUCAUAAAGUUAAAGUGCUUGACGUGGAGCUUUGCAUGUAUGAUAAGACUAAUUUACCUCCUGGCAUUUUCACCUGCCGCUCACUUGAGGAUCUAAAUUUGCAGUGGAGUGGAGCUCCUUUUCGAGAUUAUGAGCAUAAGGGACUUGUGCUGCCUGACAUAAUCAAGCUUCCUUCUCUUAGAAAACUGACUCUACGCGAUGUGGAAGUGCAUGAGCUUCCUCUGGAGAGUUUCAUUGCCCGGAGCCCUGGCCUAGAAGACUUGCAUCUGAUAGACUCUGCAGUGUGUCUUGAGCACAUAAAAUCAAAAGCGCUAAGAAGGCUAACCAUUGAUGGUUCCAUGUAUGGACCGGAUAGAAUGACAAUUUCUGCUCCUAAUCUCAUUAGCUUUGAGUGCACCGGUUUUUCACUGGAAGAUAUUGUUUGGAGAGACCAGCCAUCGCUAGAGAGUGCACACAUAGAUACUUGUGGGCGUACAUUUGGUGGUGAAUCUAGGUUUACAGGAGUUCUUGUGCAUGCCAAAAAACUUGCACUAUUUGGUUGUGACAUAAAGGUUAUGUUGGAAAAUGAGCUGCCUACAUGUUCAGUGUUUGAGAACCUUGUAACUCUUGAAAUUGGUGAAUGGCACUUGACCAAGGACUUCUACGUUUUGCUUCGCUUCCUCCAGCUUUCACCAAGACUAGAAGAGCUCACUCUGAUGCAUAAACAGCUUGACGAAGCAGAAGAAACAGAAGGCAUGCCUACUGAUGGAAUGACCUUCCAGUGUCCACUCCUUAAAAGUGUCACCAUACAGUAUUCAGAGGGUGACGAUGGAAUUGACAAGCUGGUGGAUGUCCUGGUAGCGAAUGGUAUCAGUUCGGACAAGAUAAGUGUAACUUCCUACGAAGAUAUCAAAAAGAGGGCCUUUGCUGAGGAGGCACGCGCCGAAGAGGAGCGUCCAAAGAAGAAGAGGGCGAAGAAAAAUCCAGACUGGGAAGAUGAUGACUCCGACGAACAGAGUAACCCUGAUGAUCCUAGCGGUGACGAGUAUGAUCCUGAUGACUUUUGA
rnacentral:rRNA from 1 species